CACUGGUCUUUGGUAAGGAGGCAUGAGAGCUCUGACAGGGUCCUAGAGCCCUCCUCUUCCUUCCCAAAGCUGGAAAAACGAGGGGGAGAGGAGGAGAAGGACUCUAGGACCCUGUCAGAGCCCUCAUGCCUCCUUCCCAAAGCACAGCU